UACGUAGGCAGCGAGCGUUGUUCGGAAUUACUGGGCGUAAAGAGUGUGUAGGCGGUGCUCUAAGUUCGGUGUGAAAUCUCCUGGCUCAACUGGGAGGGUGCGCCGGAAACUGGAGUGCUUGAGCGUGGGAGAGGAAAGCGGAAUUCCUGGUGUAGCGGUGAAAUGCGUAGAUAUCAAGAGGAACACCUGAGGUGAAGACGGGUUGCUGGGCCGACACUGACGCUGAGUGCGCGAAAGCCAGGGGAGCAAACGGG
rnacentral:rRNA from 1 species